ACAUGACCGCAGUCGGUGCUUCCUCACUGCGCUGAGGAGCCGUGCAGGGGCCGACUCCAAGCUCCAGCUCUACGGGAAUAACAGCCCAGGGGAGCGGGGGGACAGCUGACAUGAGCUGCUGUUAGUCGGUGAAGCUGUGAGCCGUUCUCUCAGAUCCUAGAUGUGUCCAUGCUGCAGGCCGGGGAUCCUGGAUGGGGCUCUGUAGUUAACACUGCGAUCAAGCGUCGGGCAGCUGGUCCAAACUGGAGCUGGUCCUUACAGACGCAACAACGCCAUCCUACCAGCAGUCGUGGUGAUGAAGAUGAUUGUGCCAAAAACAGACCUCGGCUGCACGCACAGAGAAAGUUUGCUCAGUCCCCACCCAGCUCUCCAGGACCAUUGGUGCUGAUGAGGUCUGCACAGAAUACCCACUCCCACAGCCUGGCUGUAGUCACCUGUCUGACCAAACGUCGCCCUAAGACUGAGGACUUUUUGUCUUUUCUCUGUUUAAGAGGUUCAGCAGCAUUACCGCGCAACAUGGCAUUCUUAACAAGUAAGCGAGACAGGGAGCCAGGUGACAGUCAGCGUUUGCCUUCCUGUCACAAGGCUCCAGCUGAGGAGAAGAAAAUCAGGAUGUUAUGUAGAAAAACAGUGCACAGUGACUCCAGGUCACUGAAGAGGAGGCCUGCCAGCCCUGCUGUGCUCAGAUCCACCUGCCCUUUAACAGCUCGAGCACAGAAAAGGAUGGACAGCGAUGAAAGAGAAGGGAAGCAACAGAAGAAGGGAGUGGAGGGGGACAGGCGAGAGGGCGCUCAGAUACACCUCCUGAGACCUCGCCAGCACUUACUUCAUGUCAAGAGGGCUAACAAGGUCUGGUCAUGCUUUACUACACGUUUGCUUGUGUGAAAAGUGUGCUGUUGUAUCAUCGGUAUGGAAACCAAACACUAAUAAACAUACAGGUCCUUUUAACACCCGGGGUUGUUCCUUUUGGACUUUGUCAACAGUUUUUUACUAAGUUCGAUGAGAAGAGUAAAAGGUCUUGGACACAUUGUCAGUGGCACCUGAUGGUGGCUGAAGAGGGCCACUGACUGGAGUGUGUGUGGAUUAAUAAAGCUGCUCUUUGACAGUCACAGCGCUGCUGUCAAUGCUGCCAAACAGCUGAAACAGUCACAGUGACAUUUAACCUGACAUGUGCAAUAUUGAAUACAAAUGCAUAGAGAGCUGUCGCCUCUCUGACAUCUAGAGCUAAAGUUAAAGUUGCUGGUAAG
ensembl:lncRNA